UACGGAGGGUGCGAGCGUUGUCCGGAAUCACUGGGCGUAAAGCGCGCGUAGGUGGCUUCGUAAGUCCGCUGUGAAAGUCAAAGGCUCAACCUUUGAAAGCCGGUGGAUACUGCGGGGCUAGAGUACGGAAGAGGCGAGUGGAAUUCCUGGUGUAGCGGUGGAAUGCGCAGAUAUCGGGAGGAACACCGGUGGCGGAGGCGGUUCUCUGGGCCUGUACUGACGCUGAGGAGCGAAAGCGUGGGGAGCGAACAGG
rnacentral:rRNA from 1 species